UACGUAGGGAGCAAGCGUUGUCCGGAAUCAUUGGGCGUAAAGAGCGCGUAGGUGGCUGCAUAAGUCCGGUGUGAAAGUCACAGGCUCAACCUGUGAAUGCCGCUGGAAACUGUCUGGCUAGAGUCCGGAAGGGGCGAGUGGAAUUCCUGGUGUAGCGGUGAAAUGCGCAGAUAUCAGGAGGAACACCAAUGGCGAAGGCAGCUCGCUGGAACGGUACUGACGCUGAGGCGCGAAAGCGUGGGGAGCGAACAGG
rnacentral:rRNA from 1 species